GUGCUUGCUUUGGCAGCACAUAUACUAAAAUUGGAAUGAUACAGAGAAGAUUAGCAUGGCCCCUGCAUAAGGAUGACACACAAAUUCAUGAAAUGUUCCAUAUUUUU
rnacentral:snRNA from 1 species